rnacentral:rRNA from 1 species
UUCCGUAGGGGGUACCUGCGGAGGGAUCAUUACCGAGUUUACAACUCCCAAACCCCUGUGAACAUACCUUAAUGUUGCCUCGGCGGAUCAGCCCGCGCCCCGUAAAACGGGACGGCCCGCCAGAGGACCCAAACUCUAAUGUUUCUUAUUGUAACUUCUGAGUAAAACAAACAAAUAAAUCAAAACUUUCAACAACGGAUCUCUUGGUUCUGGCAUCGAUGAAGAACGCAGCAAAAUGCGAUAAGUAAUGUGAAUUGCAGAAUUCAGUGAAUCAUCGAAUCUUUGAACGCACAUUGCGCCCGCUGGUAUUCCGGCGGGCAUGCCUGUUCGAGCGUCAUUUCAACCCUCAAGCCCCCGGGUUUGGUGUUGGGGAUCGGCUCUGCCUUCUGGCGGUGCCGCCCCCGAAAUACAUUGGCGGUCUCGCUGCAGCCUCCAUUGCGUAGUAGCUAACACCUCGCAACUGGAACGCGGCGCGGCCAUGCCGUAAAACCCCAACUUCUGAAUGUUGACCUCGGAUCAGGUAGGAAUACCCGCUGAACUUAAGCAUAUCAAA